rnacentral:lncRNA from 1 species
UCUAUUACUUUCUAGCUAGGUACAUGUGCUAGAAUUCUAUGGAGAAUUCUAGAGUAUUUCCAAGCUCAAAUGGACUAGAGUUCUCUAGAACGUUCCGAAAUCUAGAGUUGCCUAGAAUGUUCCGGAAUUGGGCUCUUUAUUUUUCAUAAUUUCUUAAGCCCAAAUAAUUAUUACAUAAUCAAGUUUAUUUUAAUUUUAUUUUCAACA